CAGUAGCCGCGGUAAUACGUAGGUGGCGAGCGUUGUCCGGAUUUAUUGGGCGUAAAGGGAGUGUAGGCGGUCUUUUAAGUCUGAUGUGAAAGCCCACGGCUCAACCGUGGAGGGUCAUUGGAAACUGGGAGACUUGAGUGCAGAAGAGGAGAGCGGAAUUCCAUGUGUAGCGGUGAAAUGCGUAGAUAUAUGGAGGAACACCAGUGGCGAAGGCGGCUCUCUGGUCUGUAACUGACGCUGAGGCUCGAAAGCGUGGGGAGCAAACAGGAUUAGAUACUCGUGUAGUCCCUGUCUCUUAUAC
rnacentral:rRNA from 1 species